rnacentral:rRNA from 1 species
UAUNGCACAAUGGUCGCAAGCCUGAUGCAGCNAUACCGCGUGUAUGAAGAAGGCCUUCGGGUUGUAAAGUACUUUCAGCGGGGGGGAAGGGAGUAAAGCUAAUACCUUUGCUCAUUGACGUUACCCGCAGAAGACGCACCGGCUAACUCCGUGCCAGCAGCCGCGGUAAUACGGAGGGUGCAAGCGUUAAUCGGAAUUACUGGGCGUAAAGCGCACGCAGGCGGUUUGUGAAGUCAGAUGUGAAAUCCCCGGGCUCAACCUGGGAACUGCAUCUGAUACUGGGAAGCUUGAGUCUCGUAGAGGGGGGUAGAAUUCCAGGUGUAGCGGUGAAAUGCGUAGAGAUCUGGAGGAAUACCGGUGGCGAAGGCGGCCCCCUGGACGAAGACUGACGCUCAGGUGCGAAAGCGUGGGGAGCAA